GUGGAACGACAUUUAUUGGAUAUUUCAAACUUUUUUAACAAAUCAAAAACUGAAAAGUUGGGCAUGCAAAAUUAUUCAGCCCCCUUAAGUUAAUACUUUGUAGCGCCACCUUUUGCUGCGAUUACAGCUGUAAGUCGCUUGGGGUAUGUCUCUAUCAGUUUUGCACAUCGAGAGACUGAAAUUUUUUCCCAUUCCUCCUUGCAAAACAGCUCGAGCUCAGUGAGGUUGGAUGGAGAGCAUUUGUGAACAGCAGUUUUCAGUUCUUUCCACAGAUUCUCGAUUGGAUUCAGGUCUGGACUUUGACUUGGCCAUUCUAACACCUGGAUAUGUUUAUUUUUGAACCAUUCCAUUGUAGAUUUUGCUUUAUGUUUUGGAUCAUUGUCUUGUUGGAAGACAAAUCUCCGUCCCAGUCUCAGGUCUUUUGCAGACUCCAUCAGGUUUUCUUCCAGAAUGGUCCUGUAUUUGGCUCCAUCCAUCUUCCCAUCAAUUUUAACCAUCUUCCCUGUCCCUGCUGAAGAAAAGCAGGCCCAAACCCUGAUGCUGCCACCACCAUGUUUGACAGUGGGGAUGGUGUGUUCAGGGUGAUGAGCUGUGUUGCUUUUACGCCAACCAUAACGUUUUGCAUUGUUGCCAAAAAGUUCAAUUUUGGUUUCAUCUGACCAGAGCGCCUUCUUCCACAUGUUUGGUGUGUCUCCCAGGUGGCUUGUGGCAAACUUCAAACGACACUUUUUAUGGAUAUCUUUAAGAAAUGACUUUCUUCUUGCCACUCUUCCAUAAAGGCCAGAUUUGUGCAAUAUACGACUGAUUGUUGUCCUAUGGACAGAGUCUCCCACCUCACCUGUAGAUCUCUGCAGUUCAUCCAGAGUGAUCAUGGGCAUCUUGGCUGCAUCUCUGAUCAGUCUUCUCCUUGUAUGAGCUGAAAGUUUAGAGGGACGGCCAGGUCUUGGUAGAUUUGCAGUGGUCUGAUACUCCUUCCAUUUCAGUAUUAUCGCUUGCACAGUGCU
ensembl:lncRNA